GAACGGGGUUAAGAACGAAUCAGAGACUUCUUGCCUGACACAGGCCUGUAAAGAGUGUCUUGCACCUUGUAACGCGAAAAGGACAUUUCCAGACGAGAACUCAUGCAAAGCAAGCUGU